GGGUUGUUAGCCAAGUGGUAAGGCAGGUCGCUUUUAACGAUCGGAUCGGAAGUUCGAAUCUUCCACGACCCACCA
rnacentral:tRNA from 1 species